rnacentral:rRNA from 1 species
GUUAUAUGGUCAAGCGAAUAAGCGCACACGGUGGAUGCCUAGGCGGUCAGAGGCGAUGAAGGACGUGGUAGCCUGCGAAAAGUGUCGGGGAGCUGGCAACAAGCUUUGAUCCGGCAAUAUCCGAAUGGGGAAACCCACUGCUUCGGCAGUAUCCUGCAGUGAAUUCAUAGCUGCUGGAAGCGAACCCGGUGAACUGAAAUAUCUAAGUAACCGGAGGAAAAGAAAUCAACCGAGAUUCCCUAAGUAGUGACGAGCGAACGGGGAGCAGCCCUUAAGCUGGAAUGGCUUUAGAAAAACAAUCUGGAAAGAUUGGCCAUAGAAGGUGAUAGCCCUGUAUUUAAAAGGGCCACUCCAGUGAAGACGAGUAGGGCGGGGCACGUGAAACCCUGUCUGAAUAUGGGGGACCAUCCUCCAAGGCUAAAUACUCCUGACCGACCGAUAGUGAACCAGUACCGUGAGGGAAAGGCGAAAAGAACCCCGGAGAGGGGAGUGAAAUAGAUCCUGAAACCGUGUGCGUACAAGCAGUAGGAGCUCGCAAGAGUGACUGCGUACCUUUUGUAUAAUGGGUCAGCGACUUACUGUUCGUGGCAAGCUUAACCGUAUAGGGGAGGCGAAGGGAAACCGAGUCUGAUAAGGGCGCAUAGUCGCGGGCAGUAGACCCGAAACCGGGUGAUCUAGUCAUGGCCAGGGUGAAGGUGCCGUAACAGGUACUGGAGGCCCGAACCCACGUCUGUUGCAAAAGACGGGGAUGAGCUGUGAUUAGGAGUGAAAAGCUAAUCGAACCCGGAGAUAGCUGGUUCUCCUCGAAAGCUAUUUAGGUAGCGCCUCAUAUGUAUCCUCUCGGGGGUAGAGCACUGUUAUGGCUAGGGGGUCAUCGCGACUUACCAAACCAUUGCAAACUCCGAAUACCGAGACGGACUGUAUGGGAGACACACGGCGGGUGCUAACGUCCGUCGUGAAAAGGGAAACAACCCAGACCCACAGCUAAGGUCCCAAAUUCACUGCUAAGUGGAAAACGAUGUGGAAAGGCAUAGACAGCCAGGAGGUUGGCUUAGAAGCAGCCACCCUUUAAAGAAAGCGUAAUAGCUCACUGGUCGAGUCGGUCUGCGCGGAAGAUUUAACGGGGCUAAGCAGUGAACCGAAGCUUGGGGUGCAUAAAACGUGUUUUAUGCGCGGUAGAGGAGCGUUCCGUAAGCCUGCGAAGGUGGAUUGAGAAGUCUGCUGGAGGUAUCGGAAGUGCGAAUGCUGACAUGAGUAACGAUAAUGCGGGUGAAAAGCCCGCACGCCGAAAGCCCAAGGUUUCCUUGCGCAACGUUAAUCGACGCAGGGUUAGUCGGUCCCUAAGGCGAGGGCGAAAGCCGUAGUCGAUGGGAAGCAGGUUAAUAUUCCUGCACCUCGCGUGAGUGCGAUGGAGGGACGGAGAAGGUUAGGUGUACCGGGCGUUGGUUGUCCCGGGGAAAGGCGGUAGGUUUGGAUCUUUGGCAAAUCCGGGAUCCUUUAAGACCGAGCACCGAGACGAGCCUUUUUUGGCGAAGUCACUGAUACCACGCUUCCAGGAAAAGCUCCUAAGCUUCAGCUCACGAAGACCGUACCGUAAACCGACACAGGUGGGUAGGAUGAGAAUUCUCAGGCGCUUGAGAGAACUCGGGUGAAGGAACUAGGCAACAUGGCACCGUAACUUCGGGAGAAGGUGCACCCUUUUUGGUGGCUCAUGCGAGCUAUAGCUGAAGAGGGUCGCAGAAACCAGGCCGCUGCGACUGUUUAUCAAAAACACAGCACUCUGCAAACACGAAAGUGGACGUAUAGGGUGUGACGCCUGCCCGGUGCUGGAAGGUUAAUUGAUGGGGUCAGCCGCAAGGCGAAGCUCUUGAUCGAAGCCCCAGUAAACGGCGGCCGUAACUAUAACGGUCCUAAGGUAGCGAAAUUCCUUGUCGGGUAAGUUCCGACCUGCACGAAUGGCGUAACGACAGCGGCGCUGUCUCCACCCGAGACUCAGUGAAAUUGAAAUCGCUGUGAAGAUGCAGCGUUCCCGUGGCAAGACGGAAAGACCCCGUGAACCUUUACUAUAGCUUUACACUGAACGUUGAGUUCGUCUGUGUAGGAUAGGUGGGAGGCUAUGAAACUGUGGCGCUAGCUGCAGUGGAGCCAUCCUUGAAAUACCACCCUGUCGUGCUUGACGUUCUAACCUAGGUCCGUUAUCCGGAUCAGGGACCGUGUAUGGUGGGUAGUUUGACUGGGGCGGUCUCCUCCUAAAGAGUAACGGAGGAGCACGAAGGUACGCUCAGCGCGGUCGGACAUCGCGCACUGUGUGCAAAGGCAUAAGCGUGCUUGACUGCAAGAUCGACGGAUCAAGCAGGUACGAAAGUAGGUCUUAGUGAUCCGGUGGUUCUGUAUGGAAGGGCCAUCGCUCAACGGAUAAAAGGUACUCCGGGGAUAACAGGCUGAUACCGCCCAAGAGUUCAUAUCGACGGCGGUGUUUGGCACCUCGAUGUCGGCUCAUCACAUCCUGGGGCUGUAGUCGGUCCCAAGGGUAUGGCUGUUCGCCAUUUAAAGUGGUACGCGAGCUGGGUUCAGAACGUCGUGAGACAGUUCGGUCCCUAUCUGCCAUGGGCGUUGGAAGUUUGAGAGGGGCUGCUCCUAGUACGAGAGGACCGGAGUGGACGAACCUCUGGUGUUCCGGUUGUCACGCCAGUGGCAUUGCCGGGUAGCUAUGUUCGGAAGCGAUAACCGCUGAAAGCAUCUAAGCGGGAAGCGCGCCUCAAGAUGAGACUUCCCGGGGCACAAGCCCCCCCUAAAGGAACCAUGUAGACUACGUGGUUGAUAGGUCAGGUGUGUAAGUACAGCAAUGUAUUGAGCUAACUGAUACUAAUGAUCCGUGCGGCUUGACCAUAUAACCUCA